UGGGGAAUUUUGGACAAUGGGGGCAAGCCUGAUGACGCAACGCCGCGUGGGGGAUGAAGGUCUUCGGAUCGUAAACCCCUGUCGAAUGGGACGAAAGACUCGCGAGUGAGUACUUCGCAAGAGUGACGGUACCGUUAAAGGAAGCCACGGCUAACUCUGUGCCAGCAGCCGCGGUAAUACAGAGGUGGCAAGCGUUGUUCGGAAUUACUGGGCGUAAAGGGCGCGUAGGCGGCCCUCUAAGUCAGACGUGAAAUCCCCCGGCUUAACCUGGGAACUGCGUCUGAUACUGGAGGGCUUGAGUAUGGGAGAGGGAUGUAGAAUUCCAGGUGUAGCAGUGAAAUGCGUAGAUAUGUGGAGGAAUACCGAUGGCGAAGGCAGCCCCCUGGGAUAACACUGACGCUCAUGCACGAAAGCGUGGGGAGCAAACAGGAUUAGAUACCCAUGUAGUCCCUGAGCGGGCUGGCAAGGCGCAU
rnacentral:rRNA from 1 species